rnacentral:rRNA from 1 species
UACAGAGACUGCAAGCGUUAUUCGGAUUCACUGGGCGUAAAGGGUGCGCAGGCGGCCAAGUGUGUGAGGUGUGAAAGCCCGGGGCUUAACCUCGGAAUUGCACCUCAAACUACAUGGCUAGAGCAUUGGAGAGGGUAGCGGAAUUCACGGUGUAGCAGUGAAAUGCGUAGAUAUCGUGAGGAACACCAGAGGCGAAGGCGGCUACCUGGACAAUUGCUGACGCUCAGGCACGAAAGCGUGGGGAGCAAAAGGG